GCAGAAUUAGGGUAACGUAUGCAUGGUGGAAGAUGCGGAACACGAUGGCUUCGUCCGGAACGCGCAUUCAUCCCUCCUCUCACCCCGUUAUCAUUUGAGGACAAAGAAACUAUAACGCCCACACUCAACGGCGGCGAAGCGGAGCGAGGCUUGCGCUUUUUGCGUUUCUCGAUUGAAGAUUAAAGUGUUUGGUCGGUGGUGAUUCGGUGGCUAUAUAGGCCAGCUCAGUGAACACAGUAUGUCGCACUUAGUGUCCGUGUUUCUUUGUCAAGAGUGUGUCACAAGAUUCUGCGACAGCCUGUUUUUGUCUCCCGACGAACAAUGCACGGAAUAGCCUACAAAGGAGAAUAGGGGGAGCGGACUUCAGCCCAGCUCUGAUAUAGAAGUUUGUGAACCCGAGACUGGAUGUUAUAUACGGGGCUUUUCGCCAGCUCCUGGGAUUCUGUGCACAAGAGCAUUCCAUAGGAGUUAAACCCUCGCACCCACGCCGUUUCCCCUGAAGACCCCCCCUCAGCCCCACC